GUCUCUAGGAGGUGAACUACUGUAACAGUUCAGUGUGUUAUAGUGUCUCUUGGAGGUGAACUACUGUAACAGUUCAGUGUGUUAUAGUGUCUCCAGGACAUGAAAUACUGUAACAGUUCAGUGUAUUAUAGUGUCUCUUGGAGGUGAACUACUGAAAAGUUCAGUGUGUUAUAGUGUCUCUAUCUAGGAGGUGAACUACUGUAACAGUUCAGUGUGUUAUAGUGUCACUGGGAGGUGAACUACUGUAACAGUUCAGUGUGUUAUAGUGUCUCUAGGAGGUCAACAACUGUAACAGUUCAGUGUGUUUUUGUGUCACUAGGAGGUGAACUACUGUAACAGUUCAGUGUGUUAUAGUGUCACUAGGAGGUGAACUACUGUAACAGUACAGUGUGUUAUAGUGUCUCUAGGAGGUGAACUACUGUAACAGUUCAGUGUGUUAUAGUGUCUCUA
rnacentral:lncRNA from 1 species